UCCCAAUGAAGAAACACUCACACGUCUUACUCCUGUCCUAGUCCCAGAGUCUGUAAAGGUGAACCUACUGGGGUUGACUGGGGGGAGAAGAGGAAAAAUUUGUUCCAGAAGGAACUGUCUGAGAGAC
rnacentral:snoRNA from 1 species